AACGAACGCUGGCGGCGCGCCUAACACAUGCAAGUCGAACGAGAAGGCGUAGCAAUACGCUUGUAGAGUGGCGAACGGGUGAGUAAUACGUGGGUGACCUACCCUCGAGUGGGGAAUAACCCGCCGAAAGGCGGGCUAAUGCCGCGUACGCUUCCGUCCUCACGGGGACGGAAGGAAAGCUGUACCGUGGGUACGGCGCUCAAGGAUGGGCUCACGUCCUAUCAGCUUGUUGGUAGGGUAACGGCCUACCAAGGCUACGACGGGUAGCUGGUCUGAGAGGACGAUCAGCCACACUGGCACUGCGACACGGGCCAGACUCC
rnacentral:rRNA from 1 species